UGGCGGACGGGUGAGGAAUACAUCGGAAUCUACUCUGUCGUGGGGGAUAACGUAGGGAAACUUACGCUAAUACCGCAUACGACCUACGGGUGAAAGCAGGGGAUCUUCGGACCUUGCGCGAUUGAAUGAGCCGAUGUCGGAUUAGCUAGUUGGCGGGGUAAAGGCCCACCAAGGCGACGAUCCGUAGCUGGUCUGAGAGGAUGAUCAGCCACACUGGAACUGAGACACGGUCCAGACUCCUACGGGAGCAGCAGCC
rnacentral:rRNA from 1 species